AUGGCUGUCGUCAGCUCGUGUCGUGAGAUGUUGGGUUAAGUCCCGCAACGAGCGCAACCCCCGCCCUUAGUUGCCAGCGGUUCGGCCGGGCACUCUGGGGGGACUGCCGGUGAUAAGCCGGAGGAAGGCGGGGACGACGUCAAGUCAUCAUGGCCCUUAUGCCCAGGGCUACACACGUGUUACAAUGGGGGCGACAGAGGGCCGCAAAGCCGCGAGGUGGAGCGAAUCCCCAAAAGCCCCCCCAGUUCGGAUCGCAGUCUGCAACUCGACUGCGUGAAGCCGGAAUCGCUAGUAAUCGCGGAUCAGCACGCCGCGGUGAAUCCGUUCCCGGGCCUUGUACACACCGCCCGUCACACCAUGGGAGUGGGCUGUACCAGAAGUAGGUAGUCUAACCUUCGGGAGGACGCUUACCACGGUGUGGUUCAUGACUGGGGUGAAGUCGUAACAAGGUAGCCCUAGGGGAACCUGGGGCUGGAUCACCUCCUUAAAAGAAGUGUGAAUCUUUCGUUUUAAGCGCCCACACAAUCUACUUAAUCAGUUCACCGACCGCGGGUCUGUAGCUCAGUUGGUUAGAGCGCACCCCUGAUAAGGGUGAGGUCGGAAGUUCAACUCUUCCCAGACCCACCAGGUUGCCUCCAAAAUAGAGGUUUACCAAUCGGGGCCAUAGCUCAGCUGGGAGAGCACCUGCUUUGCAAGCAGGGGGUCGGCGGUUCGAUCCCGCCUGGCUCCACCAGGUGAUAAACGAUAGUGGUUUAGACCACUGUCGUUUAUUUCCUGACGAAGUCGGGUCAGCGGACGCUCUUUAACAAUUUAGUAGUAGUGAUAUACGACGGUGAAGUCGAGCCUGUUUCAGGCGAGGCUUUACUGGGUAUACCAGCAUUUAUCAGUAGAUGUAUUCGAUAUAUUCCUAAAAGGAUCAGUCUUUUUGGGGUUAUAUGAUCAAGCGACCAAGCGCGCAUGGUGGAUGCCUAGGUGGUAAGAGGCGAUGAAGGACGUUGUAGCCUGCGAUAAGCCUCGGGGAGCCGGCAAACAGGCUUUGAUCCGAGGAUUUCCGAAUGGGGAAACCCGG
rnacentral:sRNA from 1 species